GUAUGAAUAAUGAUUUAUGAUUAAUCCCCAAGGCCUGCCAGCGUAGAGUAUCGAUUCGUUUAAUGAAACUGCAGCCACUCGAAUCUUCCAUGACGAGCUGCGGGCGACACCGCCCGGGCCUCGGUAAUCCCAGCUUCUGCCAUCGUCUCGUCGGCUCGUGCAAGAGCAGGGUCGAGCGCAGACACGUCAAAGUGGCGGCGACAGCGAAGCCAGAGGCGUUCCUCCUGUCCCCGGAGAAGACGCGACGCCGCGAAGCUCUAACAGGUUGGCAACAAGAGCAUUGAGGUCGUGGGCCCACGGACGGCCGGCCAGUUCUCGCAGAGCAUCCAACAGUUCAGUGAUGACCUGCCUCCAGACCUUAAUCCAUGUGUCGACCGUUUCAAAUAAUCACGCCAAUGGCUGACUGGACGGACUAGGACUAUUUGGGUCUUCAGAAGCCUUCAUUGUCACGCCCUCUAACUAACAAUAAGACGGAACCGCUGCCGUACUGACCUAAGCCACGCCCACUGCGCUCACGACCUCCGGCGUAGCCUUGACCCGUACAAAUCACUCUACCCCGAGUCACGCUCCCGUUCGGACGCGGCCUCCUCCUGGGGGUCACCCUCCAUGGGCCCCCACCUUGCCGGGCCUAUUCGUUGCCGGCUACGUUACCGACACCCUAUACCAGUAAUAAAACAUACAACCGGACCGUGCGUUUAACCAACACGACCCUGAAAUAUUGGUGGACAGCAGUGACAACAAACACCUCACACUCUCUC